GAGAGAGAGAGAGAGAGUGAGAGGUGCUUCAGUAGCUGCAAAAGCCUUAUAAAAAAGGCAUCGAGAAGUAAAACAAAAUGGCAAGUUGGCUUUUCCUGAGCAGAUAGGGGUGUGCUUUCAGUGGCGGAAAUAGUCUCUGGGCUCUUUACUGGCACCAAGAGAAGCUUGGACUACGAUUAUAUUAUUAUAGAUAAGGUUAUCAGAUUCUCUCUCUACCUCAUCACAGACAGACAAAGAGCAGUAGGAAUUCAAUUUAAUUAUGUUAUUUUCAAUGCAGAUUCUAUAUGUAAUAAUACUACUAAUGAUGAUAGUUACAUUGUAAAUUUGAUGAUUCUUGUGAUUUAUAGUACAAUAUACAGCUUAGAACAAGAAUGAACUUAUUUCUCAAAGAC
rnacentral:misc_RNA from 1 species